AAGUAAAGAGACUCCUGGGCUCAUAUACCUAGUAACAGCUCUAACCACCUGGUGACAGGACAUUAGAGCUACAAAGGCACCAAUAAUAAAACUAGAUUGCUACUUGGGUAUAUCAAAACAAAACAAAACAAGAAGCUAGGACACAGUAAGAAAACAUAAAAUAAGUAAAUACAAUAACUUAUUGAUGGCUUAGAGAAAACAGUCAGUAUUAAAUCACAUAAAAAGGCAGACCAUUAUGGCUUCAGCAAGCUCCCAAAACAAAGAAUCAAGGAAUCUCCCAGGUGAAGAUAAUUUCCUGGAAUUACAGAGGUAGAACAUAGAAGAUUAAUACACAGAACUCUUGAAGAGAUCAGGCAAAACGCAGAACAAGCCAAGGAACACACAGACAAAGCACUGGAGAAACUUAAGCAGAUUAGAGAAGAGCAUAAUGACAAAUAGGCUGCAAGACUCCAUAGAGAGAUAGCAAACAGAAAUCUAGAAGAUUAACAAUAAAAUUUCAGAAUUAGACAACUAAAGAGAAAGUCAUAAGAGCAGAAUUGAGGAAAUGGAAGUCAGAAUUAGGGGGAUUGAAGAUAAAACCCUUGACAUCAACAUGUUUGAGGAAAAAUCAGAUAAAAGAGUUAAAAAAAAAAAAUGAAGGAACCCUAAGAAUUAUAACCUACAAGCAAUUGGAAUACCAGAACAGGGAGAGGGGGUAACAGAAAAUACAGAGAGAAUUGUUGAAGAUUUCUUGCCAGAAAACUUCCGUGAUAUCGUGAAAGAUAUCUGUCCAAGAUGGUCAUCAAACCCCACACAAGGUAGAUCCCAAAAGAAAGUCACCAAGACAUAUUCUAAUCAAACUUCUCAAAAUUAAAGAUAAAACUUUAAGAGCAGCUAGGGAUAAAUGAAAAGUCACCUACAAAGGAGAGUCAAUAAGACAUGUGCAGGAGAAAUGUUAUCAUUGAAGGUCAGAGUUGCAGAUAAAAGUGGCAGGAGAAAUAAAAGGAAAAAAAAAUCAACCUGGGAUAAGGUCUUCAAAAUAGUACAUAGAUUGGAGACAGCACUGGGAUGAGGUGGCAGGUAGGAAAAUGUUCUUGUGGGUUUUCCUAAUUCCACACUGUCUGCAUUCCAUGAAGGGUCACUUUAGCUCUUUGAGCUUUAGUCAUUUUUCUUUAACAUGAUAUAAUGAAUGUGCUGGUGUUGGGUAAACUACACACCGCUAUACACAGGUAGAGGGUGGUCAUUUCUGAGAAGUCAUAUGAUAUUCAAUACUUCCCAGGGUUCUGGAUCCAGUCUUCCAUUCCUUUUUGGAUUUUUACCAAGUAUCUAAAUCUCUUUUUGUCUCUGUUUUCUCUGCAAAUGAUGGUGGUUGGGUGGGAAUAGAGGUGAAUAAAAAUAACUGCCUUCUUCUUUUCACAGGGUUGAUGAUGUAUCAACUGGGAUAAUAUAUGUGAAAGCACUAUGAAAUGAAAAGAUUUAUUUAAAUGCAAGAGAUUGUUGUUUACGGUUUUAAAUGAUGUUUGCCCAGCUCCAGUUGCCUACCUUUAUCACAUUCCACAGAAACUGCUGGGAGUAAAAGAACCACAGAAUGUGAUGAUUAAAUUCAGAAACUCAAUCUGACCCAAUCUGUUUUGGUUGGCAAUCUCUUGAUAUAGUUAUCUUGUUUCAGGUUGAGGAAGCUUUAUGGAUGGACUGUGAGGAGGAAGUGUGUUAGAGUCUGAUGACAGGCUAUGCAUUCGGAGAUGGAAACCUAGCUUUUGUUAAGCCUGCUGAAUGACUCCUUGUCAGUUUGAGAUGAUUUAAUGACCAUGCACUUGAACUGCCCCAAACAACAAAAAAAAAAUCAAUCUGGGACUGUGCAGGAGAGAAUUAGUGAACUAUACUUUGCAGGAUGAAAGAAAGCAGGACAGACAAAGAGAGAAAUAUUCACUGAAGGCCCUGGACUUAUUCUUAACCAUCAGCUCAACAUAAUACUGAUGUACCUUGUGGAAGCCCUAAGCAUAGAAGUUAAACAUGUGGAUUCUGGAGUCAGGCAAACCUGAGUUCAAAUCCUAACUACCCAGGGGCCAGAAAGCAGUAUGGUGAAAUUGGAAUAAGUCAUGAAGAAAAUGAGUUGGUUGCAUUUCAAAAAUAAGAGCAAGCACUUAUUGAAACACUGAGAAAAAUUAAAGCAAUAGUGAACUCAAGACACAGAGGCGAAAGGUUUUCAGAUACAGAGAAGGCAUGAAGGAAGGAGAGCAGGGAGAGAGAUUAUCUUAGACUCAUUCAUUCCUUUUUUUGCUACAACACUACUUGCUAAUUCAACGAUUCAUCUUUAAUGAGGCCCCCUGCCAAUGUUUAAAUAGCAUUCAGAACAAAGAAAAGGCAAUAUUUCCAAAACAGCUGCUUCUACUGCAUCCUCAUAGCUCAUCUUAUCAGCAAAUCAAGAAAAAUACGGAGAGAGAGAGAGAGGAUGGAAAGACAGAUGGUUAUUUUAUACACAGAGACCUCUAUCUAUAUAUUUGGAGAACCUUCCAGAACCAUAAGGAGGAAGUAGAAUCUGAAGAACUCUGAGUCUGUGUUCAGGAGCCCAACCGGUAAGAAGCUUCCACAUUAGCUGCCUCUCAA